UUGAGGUAGUAUUACAUAAUUGACAUAAUUGAUUGCGCAGCUUAUGUUUGGUUGUAUUAAUAGAGUCAACAAAUAUGUCGCACGUUGAGUUGAAGCGAUUUACAGUGGCACAAGAUCUUCUAACAGUAUUUAAUUGGCCAAAUCUAGAAGAAUACAUAGUUUCUUGAAAAAGAGUAGCAGUUCUGGUAACUCUAGAUGGAACAUGGAAAGGUACAAGAUCAAGUAGAGAUGGACAAUCAAUGAUAUUGGAGAGGAAGUUUUGAAGGAUAGAAAACGUAGGAAUCUAUGCUGAAUGCGUUCAAGAGCUUUUGCAUGUUUAACUAGCCGAGGAGCCCAGAUAAUGCUAGCAUAGUCUAGAUGCGGGAGAACAAGUGCAUAAUAUAACAUCAGUAAAGUUCUGGGAUUCUUGAAAUGAUAACAUGUGCGCUUAAGGUAUCCCAACAUCCUGGAUGCUAAGUUAGUGAUUGAAGAGAUGUGCAACUCAAAGGACAAUGCACUAUCAAUAAUCACUCCGAGGUCUCUGGUGUUAGAAGAGAUAGUUAGAUACAUUGAGACUCAUUAGAUUACGAUUACACCAAUCUUCCAAGUACACAAUGUCCUGCUGCAGUAGCUGCGCUUCAUAGAAAGAGGUAACAGUGCGGAAAAGUUUAAGGUCGUCAGCAAAGAGUAGGAACUUACAAGAAGCAAAGAUAUGCCUAAUGUCAUCAAUAAAAAUAAGGAAGAGCAAAGGACCAAGAUGGGAACCCUGUGGGACGCCAGAAGUUGCUAAUAUAGGUUUCGAUAACUGGCCAUGGUACUUGACUUGUUGUGUGCGUCCUGUUAGAUAGCUGUAGAGCCACUGUAAAAGCUUACCAUUAAUACCAAAGGAAUAAAGUUUAUCAACAAGUAAAUGGUG